rnacentral:rRNA from 1 species
CGGCUCAGUAACACGUGGACAACCUACCCUUGGGACGGGGGUAAACCCGGGAAACUGGGUAUAAUACCCGAUAGUCCUCGACUGCUGGAAUGCAUCGAGGUCGAAAGCUCCGGUGCCCAAGGAUGGGUCUGCGGCCUAUCAGGUAGUAGUGGGUGUAGCGUACCUACUAGCCUACGACGGGUACGGGUUGUGAGAGCAAGAGCCCGGAGAUGGAUUCUGAGACACGAAUCCAGGCCCUACGGGGUGCAGCAGGCGCGAAAACUUUACAAUGCUGGAAACAGCGAUAAGGGAACCUCGAGUGCCAGGUUACAAAUCUGGCUGUCGUGAUGCCUAAAAAAGCAUUGCAUAGCAAGGGCCGGGCAAGACCGGUGCCAGCCGCCGCGGUAACACCGGCGGCUCGAGUGGUAACCGUUAUUAUUGGGUCUAAAGGGUCUGUAGCCGGCCGGAUAAGUCUCUUGGGAAAUCUGGCAGCUUAACUGUCAGGCUUUCAGGAGAUACUGUCUGGCUCGAGGCCGGGAGAGGUGAGAGGUACUUCAGGGGUAGGGGUGAAAUCUUGUAAUCCUUGA